AGUUUGGGGUAGUGCUUUAAAAAGGCACACACUGAGAGGACAAGAAGUUAUGCCAACAUAAUAUCUUCAUGUACGUCUAGACCAAAUAGAAAAGAUAAAGGACAGCAGCCAAUGCAGAUCAGAGACUAACCUGCACAUGCUUUCACAGGCAUGGAUAAUGUUUUACAUGGACCCAAUACCUAUGGCUAUAUAAACCUGUCUAAAUAAGACUACAUCGCCUCAAACUUAAUUGAAAUGUAAACUAUAUUUGACAGUGGGCAAAUCCAGACUUCAAGAUGAUUCAUUUUGUAAAGUGCAGUACCUUCUGCUGGGCUUGAAUGCGUUAAUGUAGUUCUUCAGCUGAUGGAUGCAUGCAAACAGGUA